rnacentral:rRNA from 1 species
AUUGAACGCUGGCGGCAGGCUUAACACAUGCAAGUCGAACGAGUGGCGGACGGGUGAGUAAUGCUUGGGAAUCUAGCCGAUGGAGGGGGAUAACUACGGGAAACUGUAGCUAAUACCGCGUACCAUAGGAUGAGCCCAAGUGGGAUUAGGUAGUUGGUGGGGUAAAGGCUCACAAAGCCGACGAUCGCUAGCUGGGCUGAGAGGAUGACCAGCCACACUGGGACUGAGACACGUCCCAGACUCCUACGGUAGGCAGCAGUGGGGAAUAUUGCGCAUUGGGGGCAACCUGACGCAGCCAUGCCGCGUGAAUGAAGAAGGCCUUCGGGUUGUAAAGUUCUUUCGGUAGCGAGGCGUUAACUACAGAAGAAGCACCGGCUAACUCCGUGCCAGCAGCCGCGGUAAUUC